rnacentral:rRNA from 1 species
UACGUAGGGACCAAGCGUUGUUCGGAUUUACUGGGCGUAAAGGGCGCGUAGGCGGCGCGGUAAGUCACUUGUGAAAUCUCUGAGCUUAACUCAGAACGGCCAAGUGAUACUGCAGUGCUAGAGUGUGGAAGGGGCAAUCGGAAUUCUUGGUGUAGCGGUGAAAUGCGUAGAUAUCAAGAGGAACACCUGAGGUGAAGACGGGGUUGCUGGGCCAAACACUGACGCUGAGGCGCGAAAGCCAGGGGAGCAAACGGG